CGGCGUGCCUAACACAUGCAAGUCGAGCGGGGUCCAUCCGGUGGCAACACCGGGGAAGACCUAGCGGCGAACGGGUGAGUAACACGUGAGAAACCUGCCCCGAAGUCUGGGAUAACCCGGGGAAACUCGGACUAAUACCGGAUGCCCUUCACCAAUCGCAUGGUCGGUGAAGGAAAGAAUUUCGUUUCGGGAGGGUCUCGCGGCCUAUCAGCUAGUUGGUGGGGUAACGGCCCACCAAGGCUUCGACGGGUAGCUGGUCUGAGAGGACGAUCAGCCACACUGGGACUGAGACACGGCCCAGACUCCUACGGGAGGCAGCAGUGGGGAAUCUUGCGCAAUGGGCGAAAGCCUGACGCAGCAACGCCGCGUGCGGGAUGACGGCCUUCGGGUUGUAAACCGCUUUCAGCAGGGACGAAUUUUGACGGUACCUGCAGAAGAAGCCCCGGCCAACUACGUGCCAGCAUCCGCGGUAACACGUAGGGGGCGAGCGUUGUCCGGAUUUAUUGGGCGUAAAGAGCGUGUAGGCGGUCAGGUAGGUCGGUUGUGAAAACUGGAGGCUCAACCUUCAGAGGUCGACCGAAACCCCCUGGCUAGAGUCCGGGAGAGGAGAGUGGAAUUCCUGGUGUAGCGGUGAAAUGCGCAGAUAUCAGGAAGAACACCCGUGGCGAAAGCGGCUCUCUGGAACGGUACUGACGCUGAGACGCGAAAGCGUGGGGAGCGAACAGGAUUAGAUACCCUGGUAGUCCACGCCGUAAACGAUGGGCGCUAGGUGUGGGAGGUGUCGACUCCUUCCGUGCCGAAGCUCACGCAAAAAGCGCCCCCCCGGGGGAGG
rnacentral:rRNA from 1 species